CUCAUCUCAUCUCAUGUCAUCUUAUCUUCUGGACUGAAACGAGAGAACGCUGUAAUGUAACUCUACAGGACUAAUGUUCAGCUCUAGUUUGGAGCCCUCCUCCAUCUGUUCACAUGUUAACUUUCUCUCCCUGUCUGUCUCCCUGUCUCUCUCUCCCUCCCUGUCUCUCUCUCUCACCCUGUCUGUCUCUCUCUCCCUGUCUGUCUGUCUUCAGGAAUCAGGUCUGAUCAUCAGCCCGGCCACCAUGGUGUGAUGAUCUUCUGGACUCGACUGUCCGAGUGCUUCCUGCUGCAGUAUGGAGCUCCCAGACUGUCCCCCGUUAGCUUUAGGUUUUCUGUCUGAUUUCUGAAGUAGUAUUUAUGUUAGUUGCAGGUCUGGUAGUCUGGGUGUAAAUAAAGCUGUUGAGUUGAUCUGCUGUUUUCUGUCUGGUGUCUCUGAGGACAGACCCCAGUCUGUUGUCUCUCUGAGGACAGGUCCCAGUCUGGUGUCUCUCUGAGGACAGGUCCCAGUCUGUUGUCUCUCUGAGGACAGACCCCAGUCUGGUGUCUCUGAGGACAGGCCCCAGUCUGGUGUCUCUGAGGACAGGUCCCAGUCUGGUGUCUCUGAGGACAGGUCCCAGUCUGUUGUCUCUCUGAGGACAGGUCCCAGUCUGGUGUCUCUGAGGACAGGCCCCAGUCUGGUGUCUCUGAGGACAGGCCCCAGUCUGGUGUCUCUGAGGACAGGUCCCAGUCUGGUGUCUCUGAGGACAGACCCCAGUCUGGUGUCUCUGAGGACAGGUCCCAGUCUGGUGUCUCUGAGGACAGACCCCAGUCUGGUGUCUCUGAGGACAGGUCCCAGUCUGGUGUCUCUGAGGACAGACCCCAGUCUGGUGUCUCUGAGGACAGACCCCAGUCUGACUGUACAUCUGUGUAUAUAAAGUCUCAUUUUGUUACUGAAAAAUAAACAUGAGUUUGUUCCAAA